rnacentral:rRNA from 1 species
AUGCCACCUGUAAGAGUGAGGACCAGUCAGAUGGGACACUUGUUCAAGCCUAGACAGUGGCCCUCUUUCAAAAAUCAUUCAAAUACAAGCUCUCCCGAGGAGCCACGUUCAAGUGCACCACUGCCAUCUGAUGAUACACAAAGUCAACAUCUAUCUCGGUUACAUUUUCAUGCUUAUCAAAACGGUAGCUCUUCCCGAAUGUCUUGGGACCCUGGCAAUCACAUAAUGUCGAAUCUGGAGAAGUAUUUCAGUUGUUUCCAAGGUACACAGUUGCAGUCUCGGCACACACCUGAUCGGACAAAAUCUGGUGCUAUAAAUGCAAGACGAGAAGAAGCGAUACACUGGGAGCAAGUACACUACAAGGACCUGCAGUUUUACCCAUACAGUUUAGAACAGUCACUGGAAAGUGAUGAAAACUUUAUCCCUUGUCAGUUUGCCUAUGGAUUCGAUUUGGAGAUGAGUGAACUAGUGAGUAACAUGUGGAAAUCAGACCAUGACUGGGCAGUUUGUUUGUAUCUUGUACAGCGGUAA